GGAAGAAGAAGGACGGUGUUGAUUGAGAAGCAAAUAACGACGAAAACUACGCAGAUAAUCUCAAACGUUUCGGGUCUUACUCCCACCCUCCAAUGAUGCACGUUUACUAAUUCACUAACCUGCCUUAAAUAUACGUAGCACAACACAUAAGGAAGACUUCUACAUUUCUAAACUAUAUUCUUAAACAUUUUACGGCCUACACAUUCCCACAUUUAAUAUGCCUUUCGUAGAGGUUGCGGGUGUGUCCGUGGGUAGGUUUUUGGGCCUAGUAAUAGUUUGACGAGGCAUCUGUGUCGUAAAUGUGGAAUAUCAACUAUCAUCUUCUCAAACAUAUUAAGGCUUCCACACUCCCUCAUUGGCUAAGGCUUUCGUAGAGGUUGCUGAUAUGUCCGUGGGUAGGUCUUUGGGCCUAGUAAUAGUCUGACGAGGCUUCUGUGUCGUGAAUGUGAAAUAAAAACUAUCAUCUCAAACUUUUUAAGGCUUCCACACUCCCUCAUUAGAUAAGGCUUCGUGGAGGUUGCGAGUGUGUCCGUGGGUAGUUUUUUGAGGCUUGUGAUUCUUUGACAAGGCUUCUGCGCCGUGAAUGUGAAGAAAACACACUUGAGAACCCGACGAAUCUCCUUUGUGGCCUUUGGAAAUAAUUGUUGUGGGAUCCGAAAGUGUCUGAGUAUGCGAGCUUAGGCAACACUGAAAGGGGUCUGAUCCUAUGAGGAGUAUUUAAUAUCGUGGUGGGAUGAAGAGGCUGUACAUCAUUGCCACCGUCUGAGUGAUAUAUUUUAGUAGACUUAACCCGUCCGCUACGAUUGGCACGGAUUUAGCCUUUACUGGUAGCCAGGAAACAUAUACUCCCAGGUCUUUCUCUGCCUCUGUGGUGGAUAGUGGAGUGUUUCCCAUGUGCUGGAUAUCCCCUCCCAAGGUGCAGGACUUUAUAUUUUACUUCAUUGAAUUGUAAAAGUCACUUUUUGAUCCAUUUCUGUAGCUCGGUGAUGUCUUCUUGUAGGAAAUCCGCAGUCAAGGGGUUAACAACGGUUCUCUUAUGCAACGCUUGAAUAUUUACAAAGGAUUAAAUGCCGUGAAAGGAGAUCAAAAACCUUCUUCUGUGGGUCUUAAUAUUCUAGUGAAGGAACGAGGAAUGUAUAUUUUUUUUAUUUCAUAUAAUUUCAGUUGUCUCUUUCGUACUAUAUAAUAAUGUUCAGUUUUCAAAGAAGUAACUAAAACAUGAUGAAAAAAGUAGAACAAGUAUAAAGAGAUUUUUUUCACAGCAAAGGAAGAAGCUCAUGAUCAAAACAUACAUCACAUACACACACACACACACACACACACACACACACACACACACACACACACACACACACACACACACACACACACACACACACACACACACACACACACACACACACACACACACACACACACACACACACACACA